rnacentral:rRNA from 1 species
GUCCACGCCGUAAACGGUGGGAACUAGGUGUGGGCCUCAUUCCACGAGGUCUGUGCCGCAGCUAACGCAUUAAGUUCCCCGCCUGGGGAGUACGGCCGCAAGGCUAAAACUCAAAGGAAUUGACGGGGGCCCGCACAAGCAGCGGAGCAUGUGGCUUAAUUCGAUGCAACGCGAAGAACCUUACCUGGGUUUGACAUGCAGGGAAAUCUGGUAGAGAUAUCAGGUCCGCAAGGGCCUUGCACAGGUGGUGCAUGGCUGUCGU